rnacentral:rRNA from 1 species
CCUACGGGAGGCAGCAGUGAGGAAUAUUGGACAAUGGGCGCAAGCCUGAUCCAGCCAUGCCGCGUGCAGGAAGAAGCAUCUAUGGUGUGUAAACUGCUUUUGUACGGGAAGAAACACUGCUACGUGUAGCAGCUUGACGGUACCGUAAGAAUAAGGAUCGGCUAACUCCGUGCCAGCAGCCGCGGUAAUACGGAGGAUCCAAGCGUUAUCCGGAAUCAUUGGGUUUAAAGGGUCCGUAGGCGGUUUGGUAAGUCAGUGGUGAAAGCCCAUCGCUUAACGAUGGAACGGCCAUUGAUACUGCCAGACUUGAAUUACUAGGAAGUAACUAGAAUAUGUAGUGUAGCGGUGAAAUGCUUAGAUAUUACAUGGAAUACCAAUUGCGAAGGCAGGUUACUACUAGUUUAUUGACGCUGAUGGACGAAAGCGUGGGGAGCGAACAGGAUUAGAUACCCUGGUAGUCCACGCCGUAAACGAUGGAUACUAGCUGUUCGGGGUAACCUGAGUGGCUAAGCGAAAGUGAUAAGUAUCCCACCUGGGGAGUACGUUCGCAAGAAUGAAACUCAAAGGAAUUGACGGCUGAGACCGNGCGAGACGACGACGAGGGAGGAGG